AGGAUGAACGCUGGCGGCGUGCCUAAUACAUGCAAGUCGGACGGAUGUAGCAAUACAUUAGUGGCGAACGGGUGAGUAACACGUAGGUGACCUGCCCUAAAGAGGGGAAUACCACUUCGAAAGGAGUGACAAAACCGCAUAAACUUAUAGAGAUUAGAAGGCUAUAAGGAAAAGAGCGAUCUACUUUAGGAGGGGCCUGCGGCCCAUCAGCUAGUUGGUAGAGGUAACGGCCUACCAAGGCGAAGACGGGUAGGGGACCUGAGAGGGUGAUCCCCCACAAUGGAACUGAAACACGGUCCAUACACCUGCGGGUGGCAGCAGUAGGGAAUAUUGCUUAAUGGGCGAAAGCCUGAAGCAGCCAUCCCGCGUGCAGGAAGACGGCGCUAUGCGUUGUAAACUGCUUUUCCAGGGAGAGAAACUUGCGCACGUGUUGCGCAAUUGACGGUACCCUGGGAAUAAGCAUCGGCUAACUCCGUG
rnacentral:rRNA from 1 species